rfam:Nematostella vectensis strain CH2 x CH6 NEMVEscaffold_2085_Cont40239, whole genome shotgun sequence.
ACUAGGAUGUCCGAGUGGUUAAGGCGUUGGACUUAAGUUCAAAUUUACGGAUGUAUGCGUUGGUUCGAACCCCACUCCUGAUA